ensembl:lncRNA novel transcript, antisense to KRT86
GACCCACCUCUGCUCCUCGCCCUCCAGCAGGCGCCUGUAGGUGGCGAUCUCGAUGUCCAGGCCCAGCUUGGAGUUCAUCACCUCCUGGUACUCCCUGAUCAGGCAGGCCAUGUCCUGCUUGGCCUUCUGCAGGGCACCCUCCAGCUCGGCCAACUUGCAGCGGGCAUCGCUGAGGGCCGCCUCACCCUGCUGCUCAGACUGAGCCACCGCAGCCUCCAGCUUGGAAUUCUGAAGAGAACAGAGAGAACAAGGACCAACUCACGUCCCGCACACCCACCUCAACCUCCCAAUACACAGUUGAGGAAACUGACGUUGGACGAAGGAGUGGGCAGUGACUCAGUUGCAGCAGAAAAGUUGAAAUAUCUAUUUCUCACUGUAUACAAAAACCAAAUUAAAAUGGAUUAAAGACUUAAAUAUAAGACCUCAGACUAUGAAACUACUAGAAGAAAACAUUGAGGAAAUGCUUAGGGCAUUGACCUGGACAAAGAUUUCUUGAUUGAGACCUCAAAACCAAAGGCAACCAAAGCAAAAAAUGGGCAAAUGGGAUCACAUCGAGCUAAAAGAACUUCUGCACACCAAAGGAAACAAUCAACAAGUUGAAGAAAUGACCUACAGAAUGGAAGAAAUAUUUGCAAACUAUUCAACUGACAAGGAAUUCGUAGCUGCAAUAUAUAAGGAACUCAAACAACUCAAUAGCAAGUAAACCAAAUAAUCUGAUUUUAAAAUGGGCAAAAGAUCUGAAUAGACAUUUCUCAAAAGAAGACAUAUACAUGACCAACAGGUAUAUUGAAAAUGCUCAACAUAUCAUCAAAGAAAUACAAAUCAAUACCACAAUAAGAUUAUCAUCUCAACCCAAUUAAAAUGACUUUUAUCAAAAAGACAAAAAAAUUAUGGAUGCUGGCAAGGAUGUGGAGAAAGGGGAACACUUGUACACUGCUAGUGGGAUGUAAGUUACUACAGCCACUAUGGAAAACAGUAUGGAGUGUCCUCCAAAAGCUAAAAAUAGAACCACCAGGUGAUCCAGCAAUCCCACUACUAGGUAUACAUCCAAAAGAAAGAAAAUUCUUAUAUCAAAGAGAUGUCUGCACUCCCACGUUUAUUGCAGCGCUAUUCACAAUAGCCAAGAUUUGGAAUCAAACUAAGUGUCCAUCAAUGGAUGAAUAAAGAAAGUAUGUUACAGAUACACAAUGGAAUAUUAUUCAGCCAUAAAAAGGAAUGAAAUCCUGUCAUUUGCAACAACAUGGAUGGAACUGGAGGACAUUAUGUUAGGGAAAAUAAUUGAGGUACAGAAAGACAAAUUUCAGAUGUUCUUACACAUAUGCGAGAGCUAAAAAAAUUGAUCUCAUCAGAUAGAGAGUAGAAUGAUGGUUACCAGAGGCUGGGAAGGGUAAUGGGGAGGGGAAGAUAAAGACGUGUUAAUGAGUACAAAAAUACAGUUAGAUAACAGAAAUGAGAUCUAGUGUUCAGUAGCACAAUAGAAUGACUAUAGUUAAUCAUUUAUUGUGUAUUUCAAAAUAACUAAAGGAGUAGGCUUGGAAUGAUCCCAACACAAAGAAAUAAUAAAUGUUUGAGGUGAUGGAUAUUCCAAGUACUCUGAUUUGAUCAGUACACAGUUUAUGCUUAUCUCAAAAUAUCUUAUGUAG